UACGUAGGGGGCGAGCGUUGUCCGGAGUUACUGGGCGUAAAGGGCAUGCAGGCGGUCGGACGCGUUUUGUGUGACAGCGGGUGGCUCAACUACCCGAGCAUGCGCAAGACGGUCGGACUUGAGGACUCGAGAGGGACACGGAAUUCCGGGUGGAGUGGUGAAAUGCGUAGAGAUCCGGAGGAACACCGAAGGCGAAGGCAGUGUCCUGGCGAGUGACUGACGCUGAGGUGCGAAAGCCAGGGGAGCGAACGGG
rnacentral:rRNA from 1 species